GAGGGGAUAGCUCAGUGGUAGAGUGCCUGCCUAGCAUGCAGAAGAUCCUGGAUACAAUCCCUGGUUCCAACA
rnacentral:tRNA from 1 species